GCGCCAGUGAAUGUCGGUCUGCGGCGCUCGUCGGGCGCCGUGUGCUCGCGCUCCUGGCCUAUAGGGCGCGCACUCUCUUUCAUUCGGCGUGUGCAGCGCUCCUCGCACCUGGCGACUUCGCCGGUUCACGUCUGGCGACAGAUCGGAGGUGAAAUGUGCCCCUCUCGACGGAACACCAUGUGACGGUGUGCGUACGACGGAAGGACUGUUAAGGCCCUGCCUGUCAGUUGCGCGUCAUCGCCGUCGUGGGAACAGACGGGAAACAACUUGAGCGAAACAAAUAACAAUCGCGAAGGACUCCAGCUGGUUCUGACCGCGCGGACCUGAUCGUCGCCGUUUCUCGAACCAGUCGGUGAGGCUAGCCGAGCGUUUCACGUGACGGACAGCAAGUGUCAAACUGCGCGUGACAUCCCGCUCAGCUGUUUCUUGCUGCCAACUGGAACGCGUCUAUGGUAGGACGCUGAAGGGGCUCGUUAUGUGAGGCACCAAAAACCCGGAGUCAACCUGUCACCGCUCCGCCACAAAUCUUCGUGUGAAGAUGACAGACUUCCCGAGCAAUUGAAGGCUACGGUCGACUCUGAAGCGCCUUGUGUCAGUAUAUAGACGCCGCUACACUUUGUUCCAAGAGAGUGCGUCUAACCUGCGGGACGACGAGGCGGCGUGUUUUUCUUCGACGCCGU
rnacentral:lncRNA from 1 species